AUUGAACGCUGGCGGCAGGCCUAACACAUGCAAGUCGAACGAGUGGCGGACGGGUGAGUAAUGUCUGGGAAACUGCCCGAUGGAGGGGGAUAACUACUGGCAAAGGUAGCUAAAACCGCAUACCAUCGGGUAUGCCCAGAUGGGGUUAGCUAGUAGGUGUGGUAACGGCUCACCUAUGCUACGAUGCCUCGCUGGUCGUGGAGGAUGACCAGCCAAAUUGGAACUGAGUCCCGGUCGCGAGCCCUACCCUAGUGAGCAGUGGUGAAUAUGGCACAAUUGGCGCAAGCCUGAUGCAGCCAUGCCGCUUGUAUGAAGAGGGCCUUGGGGUUGUAAAGUACUUUAAGCUAUGCUUCGUUGCUCGCUGAAGAAGCACCGGCUGACUACGUGCCAGCAGCCGCGGUAAUUC
rnacentral:rRNA from 1 species